GACGAACACUGGCGGCAUGCCUAAUACAUGCAAGUCGAGCGAACAGAUGAAGUGCUUGCACUUCUGACGUUAGCGGCGAACGGGUGAGUAACACGUAAGGAAUCUACCUAUAAGCGGGGGAUAACAUUCGGAAACGGGUGCUAAUACCGCAUAAUAUCUUCUUCCGCAUGGAAGAAGAUUGAAAGACGGCUCUGCUGUCACUUAUAGAUGACCUUGCGGUGCAUUAGUUAGUUGGUGGGGUAACGGCCUACCAAGACGAUGAUGCAUAGCCGACCUGAGAGGGUGAUCGGCCACAUUGGGACGGAGACACGGCCCAAACUCCUACGGGAGGCAGCAGUAGGGAAUCUUCCGCAAUGGGCGAAAGCCUGACGGAGCAAUGCCGCGUGAGUGAAGAAGGCCUUCGGGUCGUAAAACUCUGUUAUAAGAGAAGAACAAAUUGUAGAGUAACUGCUACAGUCUUGACGGUAUCUUAUCAGAAAGCCACGGCUAACUACGUGCCAGCAGCCGCCGUAA
rnacentral:rRNA from 1 species